AGAUUUUUUUUUUUAUUCUGUUUUUUGCACCAUGUAUAUCAAAUUCUACUUGGGGUCCCAUAAAGGCAGGAGCCGGCACUGUAAACGAGAUCCAGACUCCCGCUGAGCAAAAUUUAAACGUUCAGAGGAUGGUGUUUGCCGUAAACGUUGAGCAUAAUCCUUCAGUUAUAAGUUAUUUGAAAACUGAGCAGACAUAUGUUGAGGUUGUAUCUGCCAGUUUAACAGGGAUUCACAACAGACUGAUGGCUUGAUUGCUAGAGGGCUGUUGGAUGGCCACAAUGGAAGGCGUUAAGAUUCCUAUCUCAGCCAGGGGUCUGAAAAGAGCUCUGUCCAUGUUUGUCACAUAAUAGCAGUUUAAUAGGAUUUCAGUCUUAAGCUGCCUCUCCUAUGUAUGAGAGCAGAAAGACUCUCUGGCCUCCCACUGAUAUCUCAGUUGCCAAGGAGAAUCGCCAGACAGACAAAGGCAUCGUAACAAAAAAACAUAAUAAUGUUUGCGUCACCUUUUGUCGCCCUGGGUUUAGAAGUUAGUGAAGCGGUUUCUGCUAGUUUGACUGUGUUUAUUGUAUGUGUGUGUAUGUAUGCAUGUAUGUCUGUGUGGGCAUGCUUUACUCUGCGGUUGCUCCGGUAGGAAGGCAGCAGCAGCAGGAAUGUGUAGCACAGUAAGAAGGCUACUUAUUGGAUAUUUCAUGCUUUUGUCUGGGAGGCUUUACUGUUGUAGCAGCCAGAGGAAAUCCAAGGGUGAGAGGAUUAUCUCCCAGCUUAUCCCAACACUCUAAUAUCACACCAUUCACUCCCACAGCCUCCUUAUCUACAGGCGUGUCAAUUUCUUUGCUUUUUUUCUCUUUAUUUUUGGGUUACAAACUCCCUGUUUCCCCUCCACCUCCUAUUUCCGGAUAGCCAGGCAUUAUCACCCGCUCCAGAGGGACAGAUCCAGAACGCAGAGAGACACUUGUGAUGAAAUUCCCAGGAGAAGGUGGUGGCGCUCUUCCCAGAAGAAAAACAGAGGUUGAUGGUGCAGCACACAAGAGAAAUAAACUAUCCUCACCUUACUGCACAACAGCCUGGGAGCUAGUUAUAAACAAAGCAAUGUUUAUCUUUCUUGAAGUUGUUGGAGUAGUUGCCAGCAUCAACACAUGAUGAGCGGAAUAAAUAGCCUCUGCUUUAGCACUGCUAACCAAUUCUUAUGUCUGAUUUUGAGACGGGAGAUUAUUAUUGCUGUUAGCAAGCAUUAAACAGAACCACUGUAUUCUGACCUCAAUGAUUAGAUGGUCAUCCAGAAUUACAUGCUAAAUUGUGAUCAUUUUUUCAAGCAUACUUUCCCCAAGUCUAAAUCCAUUUUUGUAUCUUACACAGUCAGAAUGUUGCGAAGCAGCUGCUGAUGGUUUUACUAACCUCCAAAGGAAACAAAUACAAUUCCUUCAGUCUCACACAUCAUAACAGCUACAGUCUCAAGCUCUGCGGUAAAGAGUGAGCUUAGGAGCCGUCAGAGAGGAGCUUGGUGAUUGUGGGGUUAGAUGGCUUAGAGGAAGAGUAGAGGAGGUAAGGUUCUGGCUCUGGUACAAGAUUCUGGUUGAUGCUGAUGGAGCGAGCUCUGUUGCAGGCCGCGGCCUCUGCACGAGCACAUCUGAAAGUCUUUAUGGAGAGGAAGUGGUAAUUGUAAGCAGCCCCCCAACCCUUCAAGCCCUCUGAUCUUUCCCUCUGCUCAACUUCUUCCCACUGUUUAUUUCUUUCUUUCUGUGUCCCCACCUUCCUUUUCUGGCUUUGCUGUUAAUCUUUCAACUAGUUACCAAAGCAGGAUUUUAAUCACACAUCUCAGUUUUUCAUGUUUUGUUAUUGUGAAGCUUUUUCCUCAUUUCUCAUUUCUCAAAGCCACC